UGCACAACAUUCUCCUAAAAGAGUGGAUUUGGUUAUGGGUUUGAAGGUGAGCCAUUCUGGCCACUGGGAUAUGUAAGAAAUGGUAUGGAACUCUGCUGUCCCAGGCAAUUUUAUCUUCCUGGCAGAGGGAUCUCUUCAAGUUCAACUGGGAAGUGAGCUUUGCUUCUCCCCAUGUGAAGUGGCUGGUGUGAUUAAAGAGUCACUUAUUGCUCCUACUGAACAACCUCACUGAAGUGCUUACCUGCAACUAGAGGGCAAAAGAGGUGCUUUUGUGGGACUGGAUUCUGCAGUCAUAUUCUUUGGAUGGGAAUGACUGGUUUACAUUUCUUUCCCUAAAAGCACAGGGCGACUUGGGCAGGGGCUGAAGAGUGAAGGAAAAGGAGCAUGUUGUGGUGCCCUGACCGCUACAGCCACGGCAGUAAGAGGCAGCAUCACACCUCUUUGGUCAUGGUUUCGUACGAUGUGUUGUCAGCACGUGUGAGACACUCAAUGCACCCCUAAAAGGAAGCCUCUGACAUGACUUUGGUCAUCUGGUGAAUGUUACCCUUAUUUUAUUCUUGACUGACUGAAAGGAUUUUCAUGCACCAUCCCAGGUGCUGGGGGCCUGCUGCCUGGGAAGCAGUUUUGCAGAGAAAACCUCACUAGUGUGGGCAGGAGGUUGAUAUGAACCAGCACGGCAGCAAGGAAGGCAGUGUACCCCAGGCUGUAUUAGGCCAAGUAUUGACAGCAGGUAGAGCCAGGGGAUCCUUCCUCUCUGAUCAGCACUGGUGAGGCCCAUCUGGAAACCCCUGCUGAGCUUCCCAGUACAAGAGAGACAAGGACAUAAUGGAACAAGCCCAGUGAAGGUUCAUGAAGUUGAUGAAAGAGCAGGACCCUCUGUGAUGCAAGGAGAGGCUGAAGAGAAAUGGCUCAGAAAGACCUUAUCAGUGUUUGUAGAUAUCUGAUGGGAAGUGGGUGUAAAGAAGAGGAUUCAGACUUACAAUCACAGGACCAAAGAAUCACUUUGGUUGAAAAAGACCUCUGAGAUCAUUGAGUCCAACCUACUUCCCAGUCCAGCCUCUUCUUGAAGCUCAACUCUUCUCUGUGGUGCCCAUUGUGGGGACAAGAGGCAAUGGGGGUACCUAGAAAUGGGAGAUUCCACUCCCACAUAAGGAAAAUAAUAUGUUUACUGUUCGGUUG